CCCCAAGGGACCCACAGCACCCUACGGCCGAGAGCUGUGGGAUGUGGAGAACCCAGUGACGUGGAGCACCGUGGGACCUGGAGGACCUGGUGGGACCUGGUGAGAUCUGGUGGGAUCUGGAGCAUGCAAGGAGAAGAUGAUGGGACUUGGUGGGACCUGGUGGGACCUGGGACCUGGAGCACCCAAAGGAUUUGACAGGAAGGAUUUGGUGAGACCUGGUGGGAUCUGGUGACACCCAGUGGGACCUGGAGUACCCAACGAGCUGCAGGUCCUGGAGGACCUGGUAAGACCUGGUGGGACCUGGUGGGACCUGGAGCAUCCAAGGACCUUGUGGGAUCUUGUGAGACCUGGUGAGAUCUGAUGGAACCUGGAGGACCCAAGGACCUGAAGGAUUUGGUGAGACCUGGUAGGAUCUGGAGCACCCAAGGACCUGAGCAGAGCCUCACGUGCAGCGGCCUCGAGACCUCAUCCCUGCAAGCAUGACUGCAACCCUGGGCAAAGGGGCACUGCACCUUGCAGCAGCAUUAUCUCUGCAAAGCAAUUGAAAAUGUGUCAAUAGUUCUGCUGGAAGGGACCAAGGAAGGUCAGCAAGUCUGCCUGCCCGGCCACUGGCAGAUAAAGUAGGAUACUGAGGGCAUUUUCCAAGUGCCCCCUGAAUGCAGAGGUGUGGGCACCAGCUGCCUCACAGGAACCCUGUGCCAGUGUCUGACCACUCUCACAAUAAAGACAUUUCUCCUAUGGCCUCACCUGAGCCUCCCCUGGCACAGCUGCAUGGUGCACCCACACGUUGUACCAUUGGUGAGCAGGGAGCAGAGACCAGGCAGCCCCAGGGCCUCUCCUCCCACCCAUAGAUGUCAAACAGAUCCAGCCCUAUAUUGGAGCCCUGGGAGCACUGCAGGUGUUGAGCCCCAUUCACUGCAACCCCUGGAGAUCUUCCACUCAGCUCUCCAACACUCAGAAGAACACCAAGGACGGACCCCUCCUCCAUGAGCCCACGUUGGCUGUGACAACAGCUUUGCCCUCUGAGUGCCUUCCACCUUUCCCAGGACACCUUCCCCCACGAGUUCCCCACCCGGGGGUCAUCCUAAGAGGGCUGCAGCUCCCAGUGGCAGAUGGGGAUAACGCUGGCUGGCAUCCAGCUGGCAGGAUCCUCCCCAGACCUUUGGUAAAUCAUUAGGUAAAUGGUUUACCAGAGCUAAUCUCAGCCAUAAAACCCACCAUAAAGUGCAAACCUUUAGCAGUUGGGCUGCAGCUCGUGGCAGGGGUCAGCUGGGCUUUGGGGCAGAGCUAAAGGAGGGUUUCCCUUUUUGUGGGCGGCCUGAGACCUUUGGAAAAGCCUUGAAGGGGAUGAGAGCUGGGGGCUUCCUUCAGGAGAGAUGGCAAGAUGGGAAGCUCCACCCUCCUGCUAAGAGCAGAGGUAUUUUAAUAUGGAGUCAUAGAAUCACAGCAUGGUUGGCUUGGAGGGGACCUUCAAGCUGGGUUUCCCUCGCCAAACCAAGGCCCUAUCCACAGCCUUGGGCACCUCCAGGCAAUGCAACAAAGCAUCCUUGUAUGUGUUUAUAGCCACACAGCAUUCCACAGCCCUACAGGGUUGGAUGUGCGUGGUUGCUCAUCCCAUCCACACAAUGGGAGCAAACCCAAGGCCAUUGGUCCCUUGCACCCAUCAGGCACAGGGGACACAGCAAUGGCAGUGUGGGGACAGCCCAGGCCCCUCCACCACCCCUGCAUGCUGGGCCCCACCAGCAGUUUGUAACAGGCUCUUUAAUUAGCAACGUUGCCAGGGACAUAACGGCUUUAUUAAAUCUGCCUGUAAUGAAACCAUCACCGCACUGCCAGGAUGACACUGUCCCCAGCGGUCCCCUCUGUGGCCUGCAGCAGUUCUGGGCUCCUCUGGGGCUCCAAAGGACCACCAGGAGCCCCUCAGAUCGAUACCUCAUCUCCUGCCCACCCACACCCCCCAGCUGCUGCCCCCCUCUCCUCCUCCACCUGAGAUCAUCCAAUUGCCAUUUUGCUGAUCUAACGCAUCGCCGGUGGGUUGUUUCCUUUUUUCUCUCCCCUAAAUCAACUUCUUAUCGCUUAAGAAAUGCUGAUGGGAAGGAUGCGUCCCCGAGGAGCGGCUGCGGGAGCACAGCUGCUGAGAUUGGGUCUGUCACUAAAUGCAAUGGGAAAAAUAACACUACUUCAAGGAGUUGUUGGGCGCAGCUCAGGACUGAUCACUUGGCAAAUCCAACGGGUUUGGGAUCCGGGGGCUUCAGAACCCCCUGUAGCACACAGAAUCCCUGUCCUGAAUGCACCCGUGACCGCCCCUACAAGCCCCCAAUUUCCGGGGGUCUCAUCGAUUCCCAUUGGGAUUCAGCUUCCCCCGACCCAGGGCUCAGAGCGAAGGGCACCGACACCCGUUUUAUUCCCUGCAGCAAUUAAACCGCCUUCUCCUCUCCGGGAACACAGUGCUGUGAUAAGAUCCGUGCAGCAAGCACUCACACUCCAUCUCUUCCAGAAGAGGCUGAAGGCUCGUUUAUGGGGAUUUUAAUAGCUGCCUGGAUAAACAGCAGCGAUAACCCUCACCG
ensembl:lncRNA